rnacentral:rRNA from 1 species
AGAAUGAACGCUGGCGGCAGGCCUAACACAUGCGAGUCGAACGGAGUUAUAUUGUAGCUUGCUAUGGUAUAACUUAGUGGCAGACGGGUGAGUAAUGUAUAGGAAUCUACCUAGUAGUACGGAAUAAUUGUUGGAAACGACAACUAAUACCGUAUACGCCCUACGGGGGAAAAAUUUAUUGCUAUUAGAUGAGCCUAUAUUAGAUUAGCUAGUUGGUGGAGUAAUAGCCUACCAAGGCAAUGAUCUAUAGCUGGUCUGAGAGGA